GAGUGAAUUGAGGAAAAUUAUGAUGUUUAAGUUUAUUCUUUAUAGAUUCUGACAUUUACAACAACAUGGAAAACUCUAGUGUAUUAGUCAGAGUUCUCUAGAGUCAAAGAACUUAAGAGUAGUCUCUAUAUAGUAAGGGAAUUUGUUGAUGACUUACAAUCUGUAGUCCAACUCCCAAACAGUGGCCAGCAGCAGCUGGGAAUGGAAAUCCAAGGAUCUAGCAGUUGCUCAGUCCCACAAGGCAAGCAGGCAAAGAAGAGAAAGUGAAUCUUCCUUCUUUCAACAUCCUUAUGUAGGUCUCCAGUAGAAGGUGUGUCCCAGAUUAAAGGUGUGUACCACCACACCUGGAUCUGGGACUUGCUUUGUCCCAGAUGACCUUGAACUCACAAAUCUUCUUGCCUUAGUCUCCUGGGAUUCAGAGCCACUAUACUUCAAGAUCUCCAUGCCAAGAUCCAGGUCAGAAACUUGUAUCUCCUAGCCCCAAGAUCAGGAUCACAGGCGAGCCUUCCAAAUCUGGAUUGUAGUUCAUUCCAGAUACAGUCAAGUUAAAAACCAGGAAUAGCCACUACACCUAGACAGCACCAUAAUGACAUUUAACAAGUGGACACCAAAAAAAAAAAAAAUACUAGACAAUCUGAUGUGUAUGUGGAAUCUUAGUGUAGGAACAGAGGAGAAUGGUGGUUGCCAGGGCAGGGCACAGGAAACAUGAGAAGACAUCAAAGAAUACAAUUUCAAUUAUGAUAGAAUGAAUAAUCUGGAGAUGCAAUGUAUGAAAGGAUAGAUGUAGUUAGUAAUAUUGCCUUUCAUACUCUCUUGGUGGUAAGAGAGUAAGUUUUAGGCGUUCUUACCACACACAUAUACAAAAGAAACUCUGAGAUUAUGGAUAUGUAAAUUAUAUUGACUAUUAUAUUCGCUUUACUGUAUGUAUGCAUAUCAAAAUGGUUAAACUCUUAUACACACACAUAUAAUUGAUAAGCAUGUCAUCUAAUAACAAGAUGACAUUAUUUUAAAUGUAUAUAGGACAUGUAUCAAAACUCUUCUAAAUCACAAACCAAUUUUUAAAAGAAUUUAUAUUACACAGGCAUAACCAAGGUAUUGUAGAUUACAGCUGCAAUGCUUACUUAACACCAAGUGUGCUCCUUGUCUAUCACAGAAUUAGUUUAAAAAUAUACCUGUAUUUUUCACAUAAAUGUAAAAUAACAUACUUAAAGUUUCUACCAUAUCCUUGUCCCAUGUUUGGAAGAUCUUUGUGGACAAUCCCUCUCUUGGUUUUCCAAUUCAGUGGUACAGCUAUUUGGGGAUAACAGGCCAAAUCAUGAUAGAAACAAAGCCAGAAUCUUCUACAACUUGGAGCUGUCUGAGGAUGUAAUUUCAGAAGAGACGAGCUGGAGGAGAUCAAGAUAUCAUUUCAGAAUGGCCCUGACAGAAUGCUACAUCAUCAUGACCACUGGGCACUUCCUAGAUGGCUCCAAGAUUUUGGAGGACAGUGUUUGGGAGUUGAUCGUGACCACUGAGUAUGCUGACCUUGAAUGAAGCAUCAUCCUAUAUGGGUUUUCCUACAAAUGCCAGUAGUAUUCCCCCUGGGAAACACUUCAUUCUGCCAAGAUUCGGACUAUCCUUAUUUUCAUAUUCAUUCUGAGGACAGAUGUCUUAAAAUAUGCCUCUGAAAGACAUUUACUCUAGCUUUGCUUAGCCUUGCUAAGAGAUGCAAGGCUUUUUCUACAGUGCAACAAAUAUUUUUUGUUUGUUUGUUUGUUUUGUUUGUUUUUUGGUGUUUUUUGUUUGUUUUGUUUUGUUUUGUUUUUUUUGAGACAGGGUUUCUCUGUGUAGCCCUGGCUGUCCUGAAACUCACUCUGUAGACCAGGCUGGCCUCGAACUCAGAAAUUCGCCUGCCUCUGCCUCCCAAGUGCUGGGAUUAAAGGCGUGUGCCACCACGCCCAGCUGCAACAAAUCUUUUGUCUAUAGAAGAAGUUGUGAAUUCAGGAGGGGCGAAGGCCCUGGGGCAGUGGGAAGAGGGAGAAGAAUGAUAAGAAAUGGUAUAACAUAUCUGUGUAAUGAACUCUCAGAAAUUAAAAUCAGCU
rnacentral:lncRNA from 1 species